rnacentral:rRNA from 1 species
UACGGGGGGAGCAAGCGUUGUUCGGAUUUACUGGGCGUAAAGGGCGCGUAGGCGGCCAGCACAAGUCAGUUGUGAAAUCUCCGGGCUUAACUCGGAAAGGUCAACUGAUACUGUGCGGCUAGAGUGCAGAAGGGGCAACUGGAAUUCUCGGUGUAGCGGUGAAAUGCGUAGAUAUCGAGAGGAACACCUGCGGCGAAGGCGGCUCUCUGGGACGGUACUGACGCUGAGACGCGAAAGCGUGGGGGAGCAAACAGG